rnacentral:rRNA from 1 species
CCUACGGGAGGCAGCAGUAGGGAAUAUUGCGCAAUGGACGAAAGUCUGACGCAGCCACGCCGCGUGAGUGAGGAAGGCCUUCGGGUUGUAAAGCUCUGUCAGCUGGGAAAAACAGGCAAGAGGGGAAAGUUCUCUUGCUUUGAUGGUACCAGCGAAGGAAGCACCGGCAAACUCUGUGCCAGCAGCCGCGGUAAUACAGAGGGUGCAAGCGUUGUUCGGAAUUACUGGGCGUAAAGCGUGCGUAGUCGGUAUUGAGAGUCGCGGGUGAAAUCCCAGGGCUUAACCCUGGAACUGCCUGCGAGACCUCAGUACUAGAGUGUGAGAGGGGAUAGUGGAAUACCCAGUGUAGCGGUGAAAUGCGUAGAGAUUGGGUGGAACACCGGUGGCGAAGGCGGCUAUCUGGCUCACAACUGACGAUCAGGCACGAAAGCAUGGGGAGCAAACAGGAUUAGAUACCCUGGUAGUCCAUGCCGUAAACUAUGCAUACAAGCUGUAGUGGGGUUUUUCUCCUGCUGUGGCGAAGCUAACGCAAUUAGUAUGCCGCCUGGGGAGUACGGUCGCAAGACUAAAACUCAAAUGAAUUGACGG